AUGAACGCUGGCGGCGUGCUUCACACAUGCAAGUCGAACGAAGCAUUUAGGACAGAUUACUUCGGUUUGAAGUUCUUUAUGACUGAGUGGCGGACGGGUGAGUAACGCGUGGGUGACCUGCCUUGUACUGGGGGAUAGCAGCUGGAAACGGCUGGUAAUACCGCAUAAGCGCACAAUGUUGCAUGACAUGGUGUGAAAAACUCCGGUGGUAUAAGAUGGACCCGCGUCUGAUUAGCUAGUUGGUGAGAUAACAGCCCACCAAGGCGACGAUCAGUAGCCGACCUGAGAGGGUGACCGGCCACAUUGGGACUGAGACACGGCCCAGACUCCUACGGGAGGCAGCAGUGGGGAAUAUUGCACAAUGGAGGAAACUCUGAUGCAGCGACGCCGCGUGAGUGAAGAAGUAAUUCGUGAUGUAAAGCUCUAUCAGCAGGGAAGAUAGUGACGGUACCUGACGAAGAAGCUCCGGCUAAAUACGUG
rnacentral:rRNA from 1 species